UUAGAUUUUAUUUAUUAAUUUAUUUUAUUAAAUUUUUAAAUUAUUAAAAAUAAUUAUAAAAAGUAAAGUUUUAGUAUUGUUUAAAGAAAAAAUAAAUUUUAUAAUAGUUAAGUAGUAUUGUGAAAGAAAAUUGAAAUAUUGUGAAAAAUUUUUAUUUAAAAAGAAAAUUUAAUUUAUUGUACCUUGUGUAUCAGUGUUUAUUAAAUAAAAAAUAUAGAUAUAUUUUUCUCGAUUUUAAAAGAGUUAAUGUAAUAUAAAAGUUAAUGUGGUAAAAUUAUUUUAAAUAUUAUAUUAGAAAUGAAAUGUUAUUCGUUUUUAAUGGUAUCUAGUUUUUCAAGAAAUAAAUUAAAUUUAGAAAUUGUAAAUUUAUUUAAAAAUUUAUUUAAUUAGAUAAUUUAUAAUUUUAAUAUUUUAUGGGAUAAGCUAUAAAAUAAAGUUUUAAAAAUAAUAAAUAAAUUUAAUAAAUAUAUGCUUAGAAUUAGCAAUUAUUUUAAAUUAUGUUAUAAUUUAUUUUAUAAAUGAAAUUAUUUAUUGAAUUUUAAAUAUUUAUUGAAAUAAUAAUUUUAAUUAUUAAAAUUAUGAAAUAAUGAUAAAAUUAGUAUAUUAAUAUUGUAUUAUUUAAUAUUAGUGAAAAGUUUAAUUAAAG
rnacentral:rRNA from 1 species